rnacentral:tRNA from 1 species
AGCGGCAUGUUUUUAAUUCCUAAGAUCAGGCUUCCAACCUGCCAUAAUAGGUUCAAUUCCUUUUGCCGCUG